rnacentral:tRNA from 1 species
GGAGGGGUUCCCGAGCGGUCAAAGGGGGCAGACUGUAAAUCUGCUGGCGACGCCUUCGCAGGUUCGAAUCCUGCCCCCUCCACCA